ensembl:snoRNA
AGCGAGACUAGAGUCACAUCCUGACAUUCCCCAUUGCCCUGGUGUGCUGUAGUUCUCGCAGAACAGCUCUUCUCAGCUUAUUCAUUGACUGCAGCUUCCAAUUGCUCAGUCAAUCACCAGCUCAGAAACAACU